UACAGAGGUCUCAAGCGUUGUUCGGAUUCAUUGGGCGUAAAGGGUGCGUAGGCGUCGCGGUAAGUCGGGUGUGAAAUCUCGGAGCUUAACUCCGAAACUGCAUUCGAUACUGCCGUGCUUGAGGACUGGAGAGGAGACUGGAAUUUACGGUGUAGCGGUGAAAUGCGUAGAGAUGUGGAGGAACACCAGUGGCGAAGGCGGCUUUCUGGUCUGUAACUGACGCUGAGGCGCGAAAGCGUGGGGAGCAAACAGG
rnacentral:rRNA from 1 species